ensembl:miRNA gmo-mir-23a-2 gmo-mir-23a-2
GGAUUCCUGGCAGAGUGAUUUUGUUGUGAUGUCAUGUAAAUCACAUUGCCAGGGAUUUCCA